rnacentral:rRNA from 1 species
UAAUACGUAGGUGGCAAGCGUUGUCCGGAUUUACUGGGCGUAAAGAGCGCGCAGGCGGCUGGUCAAGUCCGAUGUGAAAUCUCCCGGCUUAACUGGGAAACUGCAUCGGAAACUGAUCGGCUUGAAGGUGGGAGAGGGUAGUGGAAUUCCCGGUGUAGUGGUGAAAUGCGUAGAUAUCGGGAGGAACACCAGUGGCGAAGGCGACUACCUGGCCCAUUCUUGACGCUGAGGCGCGAAAGCUAGGGGAGCGAACGGGAUUAGAUACCCCGGUAGUCCUAGCCGUAAACGAUGAAUGCCAGCCGUUAGUGGGUUUACUCACUAGUGGCGCAGCUAACGCUUUAAGCAUUCCGCCUGGGGAGUACGGUCGCAAGAUUA